rnacentral:sRNA from 1 species
AUGCUAAUCGGCCUGAACGACCUCUUAUAGGUAUGUGAAUAUAUAUAAUCGGUACAUAUGCCUCCCCGGCAUAACAGGUAAGA